CAGCUACAAGACCUAAGGCUCAAGAUACUGACAUGGCAGUCUGAAGCCAGCAAGCACCAGGUGUAGAAGAGACACAGAGGUGAACUGACUGGCAGUAGUUCCACAGAAUGUUGGCUGCAGAUUUCCUGACCCAGAUUUCCACAUUCCUUCUGGUCUAUCCAGCAGCAUGUGCAGUAAAGGCUAUUACUGUGGCCUUACGAUUGCCUAUACUACCCUCUCAUCCUGAUGAGGGCCUACACAAAUGAGCACUCUUAAUGUCCCUCUGCAUGAAGAAGGCACAGUUCUGCAUUUGCCAAGCCAAGUAAGACAACUUUUAAUUUGAAUUGAAUGUACUUUGUUGAUGAACACCUAUGAUAGCAAAUGAUCAAGAAGUG
rnacentral:lncRNA from 1 species